UGGAUGGAAGUGUACUUUUUAAACCCAUGGUGGAAAUGGAGGCUGAAGAAAACGAGUGGCUGGAAGAUUUAAAUGAAGGCAUGGAGCAAGGGUGUCUACAGGAAGAUGUGACGCAUGAUGGUGAUAUGGAAAAUCUACACAUUGAGAGUUCGCAGGCUGUUAAUAUUUCCUGCAUUUCAUGUGUCUGUCCCAAGCCUGAACCCUGAAAGCUUGAAGCAGGAGUUUUUUUGGUACCAAUAAAAAUAGUUUACUUUAA